rnacentral:lncRNA from 1 species
UGUAAUCAAUCAAAUUUAAUGUAUUCUAACCUAUUCAAACCCCAAAGAACACUAAAGAAGCCAUUUAGUGGUGGAACACAAUGUUUCCGAGUUCUUAGCCCAUUUGGGACCAAAUUUAAACAAGUCUUUCUCCAAACUUCUAAACACUCUUCAUGAUGCUCUAGCACUCUUAAUCAAUCAAACUUAUUGUAUUCUAAAAUAUUCUAACCCCAAAAAACAGUAGACAAGCCAUUUAAUGCUUCAAAGCAAUGGUUGUGGGUUCUUAGCCCAUUUCGGCCAAAAUUUCAGCCAGUCUUUCUACACUCUUCUAAACACUCUUCAUGCAUCUCUAGAACUUUUAACCAAUCGAAUUUAAUGUAUUCUAACCUAUUCUAACCCCAAAUAACACUAAACAAGCCAUUUAGUGGUUCAACGCAAUGUUUCCGAGUUCUUAGCCCAUUUGGGACCAAAUUUCAACAAGUCUUUCUCCAAACUUCUAAACACUCUUCAUGAUACUCUAACACUUGUAAUCAAUACAAAUUAUUGUAUUCUAACAUAUUCUAACCCCAAAAAACAGUAUACAAGCCAUUUAAUGCUUGAAAGCAAUGGUUGUGGGUUCUUAACCCAUUUCGGCCCAAAUUUCAGCAAGUCUUUCUACACUCUUCUAAACACUCUUCAUGCAUCUCUAGAACUUCUAAUAAAUCAAGUUUAAUGUACUUUAACCUAUUCUAACCCCAAAGAACACUAAACAAGCUAUUUAGUGGUUCAACGCAAUGUUUCCGAGUUCUUAGCCCAUUUGGGACCAAAUUUCAACAAGUCUUUC